rnacentral:rRNA from 1 species
GAUGAACGCUGGCGGCGUGCCUAAUACAUGCAAGUCGAGCGAACAGACGAGGAGCUUGCUCCUCUGACGUUAGCGGCGGACGGGUGAGUAAAACGUGGAUAACCUACCUAUAAGACUGGGAUAACUUCGGGAAACCGGAGCUAAUACCGGAUAAUAUAUUGAACCGCAUGGUUCAAUAGUGAAAGACGGUUUUGCUGUCACUUAUAGAUGGAUCCGCGCCGCAUUAGCUAGUUGGUAAGGUAACGUCUUACCAAGGCAACGAUGCGUAGCCGACCUGAGAGGGUGAUCGGCCACACUGGAACUGAGACACGGUCCAGACUCCUACGGGAGGCAGCAGUAGGGAAUCUUCCGCAAUGGGCGAAAGCCUGACGGAGCAACGCCGCGUGAGUGAUGAAGGUCUUCGGAUCGUAAAACUCUGUUAUUAGGGAAGAACAAAUGUGUAAGUAACUAUGCACGUCUUGACGGUACCUAAUCAGAAAGCCACGGCUAACUACGUG